rnacentral:misc_RNA from 1 species
UCAAACUUGGUCAUUUAGAGGAAGUAAAAGUCGUAACAAGGUUUCCGUAGGUGAACCUGCGGAAGGAUCAUUAUUAAGAGUGUGCACCACGCAUGAUCUAGAGCUCCAUAGCUUAGAUUAUCGCUUGGUGCAACGUAUAUACCAACCUUGCCUAUGUGUACUCUUUGUUGUUUCCUCGGCAAGGCCUUGCCUGCCGUUAGGGGAACCCCUUUAAAACCCUUCGCAUUUAGCAUUUAUUCUUCUGAUGGAAAACCUAAAAUCAUAACAACUUUCAACAAUGGAUCUCUUGGUUCUGGCAUCGAUGAAGAACGCAGC